CCUACGGGUGGCUGCAGUGGGGAAUAUUGCACAAUGGGCGCAAGCCUGAUGCAGCCAUGCCGCGUGUGUGAAGAAGGCCUUCGGGUUGUAAAGCACUUUCAGCGGGGAGGAAGGCGUUAAGGUUAAUAACCUUGGCGAUUGACGUUACCCGCAGAAGAAGCACCGGCUAACUCCGUGCCAGCAGCCGCGGUAAUACGGAGGGUGCAAGCGUUAAUCGGAAUUACUGGGCGUAAAGCGCACGCAGGCGGUCUGUCAAGUCGGAUGUGAAAUCCCCGGGCUCAACCUGGGAACUGCAUUCGAAACGGGCAGGGUAGAGUCUUGUAGAGGGGGGUAGAAUUCCAGGUGUAGCGGUGAAAUGCGUAGAGAUCUGGAGGAAUACCGGUGGCGAAGGCGGCCCCCUGGACAAAGACUGACGCUCAGGUGCGAAAGCGUGGGGAGCAAACAGGAGUAGAUACCCUAGUAGUC
rnacentral:rRNA from 1 species